AGCGACAGGCUUAACACAUGCAAGUCGACGUGCAGCACAGGUAGCAAUACCGGGUGGCGACCGGCGCACGGGUGAGUAACGCGUAUGCAACUUGCCUAUCAGAGGGGGAUAACCCGGCGAAAGUUGGACUAAUACCGCAUGAAGCAGGGAUCCCGCAUGGGAAUAUUUGCUAAAGAUUCAUCGCUGAUAGAUAGGCAUGCGUUCCAUUAGGCAGUUGGCGGGGUAACGGCCCACCAAACCGACGAUGGAUAGGGGUUCUGAGAGGAAGGUCCCCCACAUUGGUACUGAGACACGGACCAAACUCCUACGGGAGGCAGCAGUGAGGAAUAUUGGUCAAUGGCCGAGAGGCUGAACCAGCCAAGUCGCGUGAGGGAUGAAGGUUCUAUGGAUCGUAAACCUCUUUUAUAAGGGAAUAAAGUGCGGGACGUGUCCCGUUUUGUAUGUACCUUAUGAAUAAGGAUCGGCUAACUCCGUGCCAGCAGCCGCGGUAAUACGGAGGAUCCGAGCGUUAUCCGGAUUUAUUGGGUUUAAAGGGUGCGUAGGCGGCCUUUUAAGUCAGCGGUGAGAGUCUGUGGCUCAACCAUAGAAUUGCCGUUGAAACUGGGGGGCUUGAGUAUGUUUGAGGCAGGCGGAAUGCGUGGUGUAGCGGUGAAAUGCAUAGAUAUCACGCAGAACCCCGAUUGCGAAGGCAGCCUGCCAAGCCAUUACUGACGCUGAUGCACGAAAGCGUGGGGAUCAAACAGGAUUAGAUACCCUGGUAGUCCACGCAGUAAACGAUGAUCACUAGCUGUUUGCGAUACAUUGUAAGCGGCACAGCGAAAGCGUUAAGUGAUCCACCUGGGGAGUACGCCGGCAACGGUGAAACUCAAAGGAAUUGACGGGGGCCCGCACAAGCGGAGGAACAUGUGGUUUAAUUCGAUGAUACGCGAGGAACCUUACCCGGGUUUGAACGCAUUCGGACCGAGGUGGAAACACCUUUUCUAGCAAUAGCCGUUUGCGAGGUGCUGCAUGGUUGUCGUCAGCUCGUGCCGUGAGGUGUCGGCUUAAGUGCCAUAACGAGCGCAACCCUUGCCACUAGUUACUAACAGGUGAUGCUGAGGACUCUGGUGGGACUGCCAGCGUAAGCUGCGAGGAAGGCGGGGAUGACGUCAAAUCAGCACGGCCCUUACAUCCGGGGCGACACACGUGUUACAAUGGCGUGGACAAAGGGAGGCCACCUGGCGACAGGGAGCGAAUCCCCAAACCACGUCUCAGUUCGGAUCGGAGUCUGCAACCCGACUCCGUGAAGCUGGAUUCGCUAGUAAUCGCGCAUCAGCCAUGGCGCGGUGAAUACGUUCCCGGGCCUUGUACACACCGCCCGUCAAGCCAUGGGAGCCGGGGGUACCUGAAGUCCGUAACCGCGAGGAUCGGCCUAGGGUAAAACUGGUAAA
rnacentral:rRNA from 1 species